ACGGAGGCGGUAGCCGCCGUCGUCGGAGAGCGGGGACGUGGGGCGCGCUAUCGGGCGGGGGCGAGGUUCGGGCCGGUUGUGCCGUUGCGAGACUGCAGCUGUAGUCGCUUCGGCCGGUCAAGGUGAAUGAACGCAGCUGGUGGGAGGUGUAAACUCUUCCAAGAUGUCAAAAACAAACAAAUCCAAGUCUGGGUCUCGCUCUUCUCGCUCAAGAUCUGCAUCUAGAUCUCGGUCUCGAUCGUUUUCAAAGUCUCGGUCCCGAAGCCGAUCUGUCUCUCGUUCAAGGAAGCGCAGGCUGAGUUCUAGGUCUCGUUCCAGAUCAUAUUCUCCAGCUCAUAACAGAGAAAGGAAUCACCCUAGAGUGUA